rnacentral:rRNA from 1 species
AUGCUGAAGCCGUCGGCCGGAGGCGCCGGGGGAUCCUCCUCCCGCGGCGGGCAGGGCUCCGAGGUGCUCUUGCUGGCCAACUCCACGGACGUCAGCCACUUCGGCUUCUUCCGCCGCGGCACCGCACGCGAGUUCAUCGUCUUCGUCGCCUGCACCGUUGCCCAGCGCACCCUGCCUGGCCAACACCAGUCCGUCCAGCACGAAGGUAACCACCCAUCUUAG